rnacentral:rRNA from 1 species
GACGAACGCUGGCGGUGUGCUUAACACAUGCAAGUCGAGCGGUAAGGCCCUUUCGGGGGUACACGAGCGGCGAACGGGUGAGUAACACGUGGGUGACCUGCCCUCAGCUCUGGGAUAAGCCCGGGAAACUGGGUCUAAUACUGGAUAUGACUCCACGGUGCAUGCCGUGGGGUGGAAAGCCUUGUGCGGCUGAGGAUGGGCCCGCGGCCUAUCAGCUUGUUGGUGGGGUGAUGGCCUACCAAGGCGACGACGGGUAGCCGGCCUGAGAGGGCGACCGGCCACACUGGGACUGAGACACGGCCCAGACUCCUACGGGAGGCAGCAGUGGGGAAUCUUGCGCAAUGGGCGAAAGCCUGACGCAGCGACGCCGCGUGAGGGAUGACGG